rnacentral:rRNA from 1 species
AAAUAUUAAUUUUAAAGUAUAAAUAAUUUAAAAAUAAAUUAUAUAUGUAAGAUAUUAUUAUCAACUAUAGAUGCUAAAUUUUUUCUUUAUAUUAAUUAUAGUUGCCUCCCUGAACCUCUCUAUGCCUUCUCUGCCUUGUACUCUCUGGAUUUGGUAAACUCUCCUCCAGACUACUAUCCCUGCCCCUCAUUGCAACAAGAUCACUCGAUCUCACUCCAGAAACUCAGCACUGCUACUCCAUGGGUUGUCGACAGUUUGCCCCAGCUACUCUUGUGGCGAGGGCAGGUAGUCACGUGCCGAUUGGGCUAUGGGUGUAGAAUGCCUCCUACCGGGGGCUUUUCCCUAGGUGUCAAACAGUCGACUUAGAACUGGUAGGAACAAGGGGAAUCUAACUGUUUAAUUAAAACAAAGCAUUGCGAUGGUCCCUGCGGACGCUGACACAAUGUGAUUUCUGCCCAGUGCUAUAACAACCCUUGUGAAAAUUCCAUGUAAAAAUAUACAAAUACCAUGGAUGAUGGGACACGUAUUCCAAGAUGAAUGGUGGGAAAGACAUCUUGGGGGUGUUCAUUUGGUUGUUUAUGGCUAAGGAAAUUGGCAAAGGCAAUGCCUAAGGCAUUAAAGAGGCAAAAAAUUAUUUUGGCACAUUUAUUUAUGAAAAUAAUGGAAAAUAGGAGAAAAAGGAGGUGAAAGGUCACAGGUUGCAUGUGAGGAGGAAAAUGAAGGAAAAUAAUGGAAAAUGAAGAAAAUAGAGGCCUCAUUAAUAAAAAGGCUUCUGAGGAUUAGUGGGCAAGCUUCUACCUUUCAGUGUGAUGACUUGGUCAGUUUAGGUUUGGAGAUCUCUCAUUAUUCUCUCUCUCUCUCUCAUACUCUUGGACACUUAGAUUUUUCUUGGAGCACUUUGGCAUUGGAGCAAGAAAGUCAAAGAACAGAAGAGGAAGAAAAGAUCAAGCAGGGAAAGCCAUGAUAAAGCAGCUACAACAGGCUUCAUUGUAGGUAUCAACUUGCAUGUGUAUUUUCCUUGCUAGAUUUGGCCUGCAUGGGAUUGCAUGUGUUUCUUUUCUACCAUGGCAUGGGUUUUGCUAGGUGUGACAGUAUUUUCAGUCCAACCUUGCCGUUUCCUGAUAGCUUUGAUGAGAUGGGUUCUCUCAUGUGUUUUGUGGGGGAUGGCCGGAUUGGAUUCAAAGCUAAGUGGGGUGGAUCUCCGAAUUGACAAACACAUGGUGGUAGUGGUCCUUGAACCAGACUGAGGAUGCAUGAAGCCAUUGUCCUAGUAACCCCUGAAUCAGACUAUGGGUUGCGGUAAAGCCAGAUUGUGUGCCUCGGUAGGCCUAGGAAUCCUUGUCGAUGAAUGGCGAGAUAUACGGUAAAGCCAAGAGGUGGAUUUUCUCUCUGUUGGGCCUAGUGAUUCCAGGAUGGAAUGCACGGUAAAGCCUGGAGAGUAUGUCUUGGUGUAGAGCCUAGUGAUCCCUGGAUUAGACUGCGGAUGCACGGUAAAGCCUGAGAGACUAGGAGGCACUCAAAUUCUUCACAGUGUAGGCAGAGAACUCCAGUGGCAUCCACAUUGAUUGGUGUUUUUGAUGUGUUCUAUGAGUCCCACAUUCAUGCUUGGAAUAUGGCACGGGGGUGAUUGGCUAAAGAGAGACUUGGCUCAGCCAAUCUAUUGUCGGGUGGAACGUGGUUUUUCCAUCACCGAUUGGUUCAUUGCAUUUAUUAAUGAAAAAUUCAUUCCCUUGAUUUUCAUUUGCAAAUGUAUAUAUCUAUAUUAUAUAUAUAGAUAUAUAUAUAUGGAUUUUGAUGGUUGAUAUGUUUAUUGUAUUUUUGUUCCUAUUAUGUUGUUUAUAUGCACAUUUACCCAGAGGAUGUUACAAGUGCUCUGAAUGUCAAAGUGAAGAAAUUCAACGAAGCACGGGUAAAUGACAGGAGUAACUAUGACUCUCUUAAGGUAUCCAAAUGCCUCGUCAUCUAAUUAGUGAGGCGCAUGAAUGGAUUAACGAGAUUCCCACUGUCCCUAUCUACUAUCUAGCAAAACCACAGCCAAGGGAACGAGCUUGGCAGAAUCAAAGGGGAAAGAAGACCCUUUUGAGCUCGACUCUAGUCCGACUUUGUGAAAUGACUUGAGGGGUGUAGAAUAAGUGGGAGCUGUUUUUGGCGCAAGUGAAAUACCACUACUUUUAAUGUUAUUUUACUUAUUCCGUGGGGCGGAGACAGGGAACUGCCCCUGCUUUUGGCCUUAAGGCACGUUUUGGCGGGUCGAUUCGGGUGGAAGACAUUGUCAGGUGGGGAGUUUGGCUGGGGCGACACAUCUGUUAAAAGAUAGCACGUGUCCUAAGAUGAGCUCAAAGAGAACAAAAAUCUCGUGUGGAACAAAAGGGUAAAAGCUCAUUUGAUUUUGAUUUUCAGUACGAAUACAAACCGUGAAAGCAUGGCCUAUCGAUCCUUUAGAUUUUCGGAAUUUGAAGCUAGAGGUGUCAGAAAAGUUACCACAAGGAUAACUGGCUUGUGGUAGCCAAGCGUUCAUAGCGACGUUGCUUUUCGAUCUUUCGAUGUCAACUCUUCCUAUCAUUGUGAAGCAUUAUUCACCAGGUGUUGGAUUGUUCACCCACCAAUAGGGAACGUGAGCUGGGUUUAGACCGUCAUGAGACAGGUUAGUUUUACCGUACUGAUGAACUGCACCGCAAUAGUAAUUCAACUUAGUAUGAGAGGAAUCGUUGAUUCACACAAUUGGUCAUCGUGCUUGGUUGAAAAGCCAGUGGCGCGAAGCUACCGUGUGUCGGAUUAUGACUAAAUGCCUCUAAGUCAGAAUCCACGCUAGAAGCGGUGCAUGUCACUCUUCGACUGUAUCUUGACCCGCAGUAGGGGUGUCACUUUGU